UCCGUAGGUGGAUCAAUCAGUCAGAGGUGAAAUCCUGCAGCGUAACUGUAGAACUGCCUUUGAUACUGUUGAUCUUGAGUCAUUAUGAAGUGGUUAGAAUGCGUAGUGUAGCGGUGAAAUGCAUAGAUAUUACACAGAAUACCGAUUGCGAAGGCAGAUCACUAAUAAUGUACUGACACUGAGGGACGAAAGCGUGGGGAGCGAACAGGAUUAGAUACCCUGGUAGUCC
rnacentral:rRNA from 1 species